CCCGUGCUGGGCACAGGUAGUCCUCGGCCCGCUCCCCACUGAUUGACAGGGAGUGGUUUUGUUCUCCCGCCCACACGGUCACAACAGUAACUAUCAGAUCCACUACACCAAGAUUUCUGAAGACAAUGGCAUCUCCACCCAAGCGCGUUGUAAAUAAAUUCCGAAUAGAACCUGUCAUCACCCUGAAGGAAUUCUAACUUCACACUGUUGGGGAAAUUUACCAAGAUGGCUUCAGAAUAGACUAACUUUACACAGCACAUU
rnacentral:lncRNA from 1 species